rnacentral:rRNA from 2 species
UUCGCCCUUUCCGGUUGAUCCUGCCGGACCUGACUGCUAUCAGAACGGGACUAAGCCAUGCGAGUCUGCCGAUCGAAGCAUGUUGGUUGGCGGCGAACGGCUCAGUAACACGUAGUCAACCUGCCCUCGGGUCGAGCAUAAUCUCGGGAAACUGAGGCUAAUUCUCGAUAGAUCAAGAUUCCUGGAAUGGGUUUUGGUCCAAAUGGCGUAACAGCAUCUUGUUAUUUUCGCCCGAGGAUGGGACUGCGGCCGAUCAGGCUGUUGGUGGGGUAAAGGCCCACCAAACCAGUAACCGGUACGGGCUUUGAGAGAAGGAGCCCGGAGAUGGACACUGAGACAAGGGUCCAGGUCCUACGGGGCGCAGCAGGCGCGAAACCUUCGCAAUGCGCGCAAGCGCGACGAGGUUAUUCUGAGUGAUUUCCGCUGAGGAAAUCUUUUCUUAGAUCUAAAAAGUCUGGGGAAUAAGGGGAGGGCAAGUCUGGUGUCAGCCGCCGCGGUAAUACCAGCUCCUCGAGUGGUCAGGGCGUUUAUUGGGCCUAAAGCAUCCGUAGCCUGCUCAGUAGGUCUCCUGUUAAAUCCAACGGCUCAACCGUUGGUCUGCAGGAGAUACCGCUGGGCUAGGAGGCGGGAGAGGCGGACGGUACUCCGAGGGUAGGGGUAAAAUCCUUUGAUCCCCGGAAGACCACCAGUGGCGAAGGCGGUCCGCCAGAACGCGCUCGACGGUGAGGGAUGAAAGCUGGGGGAGCGAACCGGAUUAGAUACCCGGGUAGUCCCAGCUGUAAACGAUGCGAGCUAGGUGACACGACGCCUUCGGGGCAUCGUGGUGCCGCAGGGAAGCCGUUAAGCUCGCCGCCUGGGGAGUACGGACGCAAGUCUGAAACUUAAAGGAAUUGGCGGGGGAGCACCACAAGGGGUGAAGCCUGCGGUUCAAUUGGAGUCAACGCCGGGAACCUUACCGGGAGCGACAGCAGAUUGAAGGUCAAGCUGAAGACUUUACCAGACGAGCUGAGAGGAGGUGCAUGGCCGUCGCCAGCUCGUGCCGUGAGGCGUCCUGUUAAGUCAGGCAACGAGCGAGACCCAAAGGGCG